UACGUAGGGCGCAAGCGUUAUCCGGAAUUAUUGGGCGUAAAGAGCUCGUAGGCGGUUUGUCGCGUCUGCCGUGAAAGUCCGGGGCUCAACUCCGGAUCUGCGGUGGGUACGGGCAGACUAGAGUGAUGUAGGGGAGACUGGAAUUCCUGGUGUAGCGGUGAAAUGCGCAGAUGUCAGGAGGAGCACCGAUGGCGAAGGCAGGUCUCUGGGCAUUAACUGACGCUGAGGAGCGAAAGCAUGGGGAGCGAACAGG
rnacentral:rRNA from 1 species